CUCCAAAUAAAAAAUGCAAGAAAGUAGAUGCCUCCUACGAUUGACAGAGUUCUCCAGAACAGGGGUUGAUCUAAUUGAUAGGUUGGUGCAGUUCAUCAAACCAGGAUGCCUUCCACUGAUUCAGUUCUCCUCCCACGAGUUCAAGGAAACCCUAAUGAAAAAAGGAAGCUUUCAU